UACGUAGGGUGCGAGCGUUAAUCGGAAUUACUGGGCGUAAAGCGUGCGCAGGCGGUUUUGUAAGCCAGAUGUGAAAUCCCCGGGCUUAACCUGGGAAUGGCAUUUGGGACUGCAAGGCUCGAGUGCGGCAGAGGAGACUGGAAAUUCCUGGUGUAGCAGUGAAAUGCGUAGAUAUCAGGAGGAACACCGAUGGCGAAGGCGGCUCCUGAGUCACCCGACGUGACUGAGACGCGAAAGCGUGGGGAGCGAACGGG
rnacentral:rRNA from 1 species